rnacentral:rRNA from 1 species
UACGGAGGGGGCGAGCGUUAUUCGGAAUUAUUGGGCGUAAAGGGCUCGUAGGCGGCCAACUAAGUCAGACGUGAAAUCCCUCAGCUUAACUGGGGAACUGCGUCUGAUACUGGAUGGCUUGGAUUCGGGAGAGGAAUGCGGAAUUCCAGGUGUAGCGGUGAAAUGCGUAGAUAUCUGGAGGAACACCGGUGGCGAAGGCGGCAUUCUGGACCGAUAUUGACGCUGAGGAGCGAAAGCCAGGGGAGCAAACGGG